AUGAGUAGCUUUAUAUGUUGAGAUUUUCACCUGAAAAUCCUUACAAAAGACUACUAAUUUCACCUGAACAAUUUUUGAUAUUAGUUGUUUAACACUCUGAUUGGUUAAAACGUACUUUCUCUUCCAAAUUUUCAGAAAGCAACGUUGGUAGUUUCCAUACUUUGAUCUGUUUGUAUAUAUAUAAUGCUUUGCUGUAAACAUAGCCUUUCAAUUUUCUCAGCUCUUUUCUUCUAACAAGUGACAACCAACAAUGGCAGCAUCUUCUUCUAGCACCUUCUACACCAACCUCAAGUUUUGCACCAAAUUCAACAACAGCAACAGCAACUUGAACCGAAGGGAACUCAUAUUAAGAAGCAAUGAAAUAGCAACAGUUGGUGCUAUCUUCAAUUUCAAUUUCAGGGAAUGUAAGUGGAGGACGGAGUGUUCCAGCACCAAAAGCAUCUCUUGAGGCUUGGCAACGAUUAUUAUGAUGUUCUUAAAGGAAAAUAAGAAUGUUGCUGCUUUGACAACUAAAUCUAAAGUUAGAAAGUAGUCAGUUUUGAAAAGGGCUGAAAAAUCCUUCAGAAAAGAGGAAU